rnacentral:rRNA from 1 species
GAUGAACGCUGGCGGCGUGCUUAACACAUGCAAGUCGAGCGAGAAAUUAACCAUUGAUCCUUCGGGUGAUUUGGUUAAUGGACAGCGGCGGACGGGUGAGUAACGCGUGGGUAACCUGCCCUACACAGGGGGAUAACAGUUAGAAAUGACUGCUAAUACCGCAUAAGCCUAUAGUAUCGCAUGAUACAGUAGGAAAAACUCCGGUGGUGUAGGAUGGACCCGCGUCUGAUUAGCUAGUUGGUAAGGUAAUGGCUUACCAAGGCGACGAUCAGUAGCCGGCCUGAGAGGGCGGACGGCCACAUUGGGACUGAGACACGGCCCAAACUCCUACGGGAGGCAGCAGUGGGGAAUAUUGCACAAUGGGGGAAACCCUGAUGCAGCGACGCCGCGUGAAGGAAGAAGGUUUUCGGAUCGUAAACUUCUAUCAGUAGGGAAGAAAAUGACGGUACCUAACUAAGAAGCCCCGGCUAACUACGUGCCAGCCGCCGCCGUAACAC